GCCCACGUGGCUCAGUUGGUUAAGCAUCUGCCUUCCGCUCAGGUCAUGAUUCCGGAGUCCCAGGAUCGAGUCCUGGAUUGGGCU
rnacentral:tRNA from 1 species